AUGGACCAUUCCAUCCCUUUUUCCCAUGCAUAUGCAUCGGACUCGGAUGACGAUGGUCCCGAUGAACAAGUUGAUGCGGAGGGGUUCACGGUGAAGGAGGCCGAAGCUUUCGAGAAGGUAUUCGGUCAGGAUCAUCGGACUACAUUGUUCAAGGAUGUUAGUCUCGCGGAUGAAGCCGUGGUAGAUGGUGGCCAAUGUGUACCUCUUGGGGUUAGGCCAAGCUCUCAC
rnacentral:rRNA from 1 species